rnacentral:rRNA from 1 species
CCUACGGGAGGCAGCAGUAGGGAAUUUUCCGCAAUGGGCGAAAGCCUGACGGAGCAAUACCGCGUGAGGGAUGACUGCCUGUGGGUUGUAAACCUCUUUUCUCAAGGAAGAAGUCCUGACGGUACUUGAGGAAUAAGCAUCGGCUAACUCUGUGCCAGCAGCCGCGGUAAUACAGAGGAUGCAAGCGUUAUCCGGAAUCACUGGGCAUAAAGCGUCUGUAGGUGGUUUGGUAAGUCUGCUGUUAAAGACUGGGGCUCAACCCCAGAAAAGCAGUGGAAACUGCCAAACUUGAGUGUGGUGGAGGUAGAGGGAAUUCCUAGUGUAGCGGUGAAAUGCGUAGAUAUUAGGAAGAACACCAAUGGCGAAAGCACUCUACUGGACCAUAACUGACACUGAGAGACGACAGCUAGGGGAGCAAAUGGGAUUAGAUACCCCAGUAGUCCUAGCCGUAAACGAUGGAUACUAGAUGUUGCACGUAUUAACCCGUGCAGUAUCGUAGCUAAGGCGUUAAGUAUCCGCCUGGAUACGCUCGCAAGAGUGAAACUCAAAUGAAUUGACGGCUGAGCGNGCGAGACGACGACGAGGGAGAGG